rnacentral:rRNA from 1 species
UACGGAGGAUCCGAGCGUUAUCCGGAUUUAUUGGGUUUAAAGGGUGCGCAGGCGGGAGAUUAAGUCGGCGGUGAAAUUUUGCAGCUUAACUGUAACAGUGCCGUUGAUACUGCAUGGCUAGGAUUUGGUUGCUGUGGGUGGAAUGUGUGGUGUAGCGGUGAAAUGCUUAGAUAUCACACAGAAUAUCAAUUGCGAAGGCAGCUCACAAAGCCAAGAUUGACGCUGAGGCACGAAAGUGUGGGGAUCAAACA